GAGGAAACUAUUUUAAACUGCUAAUUUAAACUGUUAACGCCUAUGUUAUUUCCCUCU
rnacentral:tRNA from 1 species